rnacentral:rRNA from 1 species
GAAACACUGACCAAGGAGUCUAGCAUGUGCGCGAGUCAUUGGGACACAACUAAACCUAAAGGCGCAAUGAAAGUGAAGGUCCGCCUUGCGCGGACCCAGGGAAGAUGGGCGGUUGCCAAUAAGUGUCCGCCCCGCACUCCCGGGGCGUCUCAGUCUCAUUGCGAGAAGAGGCGCACCAAGAGCGUACACGCUGGGACCCGAAAGAUGGUGAACUAUGCCUGGUCAGGACGAAGUCAGGGGAAACCCUGAUGGAGGUCCGUAGCGAUUCUGACGUGCAAAUCGAUCGUCGGAACUGGGUAUAGGGGCGAAAGACUAAUCGAACCAUCUAGUAGCUGGUUCCCUCCGAAGUUUCCCUCAGGAUAGCUGGCGCUCGUUGCGCACGAGUCUCAUCCGGUAAAGCGAAUGAUUAGAGGCCUUGGGGUCGAAACGGCCUCAACCUAUUCUCAAACUUUAAAUGGGUGAGAUCUCCGGCUUGCUCGAACUACUGAAGCCGCGAGACACGGAUCAGAGUGCCAAGUGGGCCAUUUUUGGUAAGCAGAACUGGCGCUGUGGGAUGAACCAAACGCCGAGUUAAAGCGCCUAAAUCGACGCUUAUGGGAUACCAUGAAAGGCGUUGGUAACUUAAGACAGCAGGACGGUGGCCAUGGAAGUCGGAAUCCG